CUCGUAGGCGGCCAACUAAGUCAGACGUGAAAUCCCUCGGCUUAACCGGGGAACUGCGUCUGAUACUGGAUGGCUUGAGUGUGGGAGAGGGAUGCGGAAUUCCAGGUGUAGCGGUGAAAUGCGUAGAUAUCUGGAGGAACACCGGUGGCGAAGGCGGCAUCCUGGACCACGACUGACGCUGAGUGAGCGAAAGCCAGGGGAGCAAACGGGAUUAGAUACCCCGGUAGUCCUGGCCCUAAACGAUGAAUGCUUGGUGUGACGGGUAUCGAUCCCUGUCGUGCCGAAGCUAACGCAUUAAGCAUUCCGCCUGGGGAGUACGGUCGCAAGGCUGAA
rnacentral:rRNA from 1 species